rnacentral:rRNA from 1 species
CACGUAGGAGGCAAACGUUAUCCGGAUUUACUGGGCGUAAAGCGCGUGUAGGUGGUACUGUAAGUAGGGCGUGAAAGCUCCCGGCUCAACUGGGAGAGGCCGUUCUAAACUGCAGAACUAGAGGAUGGUAGAGGGAGGUGGAAUUCCAGGUGUAGCGGUGGAAUGCGCAGAUAUCUGGAGGAACACCAGUGGCGAAAGCGGCCUCCUGGACCACUCCUGACACUCAGACGCGAAAGCUAGGGUAGCAAACGGG